ACGUGCGUCGUAGUUUAACCUUCACGUGCGUCGUAGUUUAACCUUUACGUGCGUCGUAGUUUAACCUUCACGUGCGU
ensembl:miRNA